rnacentral:rRNA from 1 species
UACGUAGGGUGCAAGCGUUGUCCGGAAUUAUUGGGCGUAAAGAGCUCGUAGGCGGUCUGUCGCGUCUGCUGUGAAAACUCGGGGCUUAACCCCGGGCCUGCAGUGGGUACGGGCAGACUAGAGUGCGGUAGGGGAGACUGGAAUUCCUGGUGUAGCGGUGAAAUGCGCAGAUAUCAGGAAGAACACCAAUGGCGAAGGCAGCUCUCUGGGACGGUACUGACGCUGAGACGCGAAAGCGUGGGUAGCAAACAGG